GGCUGGUCCAAUCAUGGUAGUAGAAGAUCAGAACUUAUUAACAUUGGUGUCAUUAAGGUUGGUAUACAAUGCCCCACUACUAAACUUGACUAGUUUAAA
rnacentral:Y_RNA from 1 species